AAUACGCCAUGCAAAAUUCAUAUUAAAUAAAAUGGAGCCAAGCAAUGAAACAACUCUGAAAUGGCCUAAGAAACUAAAAGGUAUUUGACAUUUACUUUUUUCGGGUACACGCACGGACUUCAUGUCAUCAUUGACCCUGGUUGCUUAAGAUCAUCAAUGUUUUCUCAAUUCCUGGACUGUUUUAUAGUCAACAGACCCAAUUAUUAAGUUCAAAGGGAAUACCCUAAAAAAGGCAGAGCAGAAUCAGUCAGUGUCAGCAAGACCUGCAGAAGAACAAAUAGAUAGCUUGUAAUAUAAAGAAAUUUAAUAUAAAUAACUUUACAGGCACACCUCGUGGUGUGUCAUCUAAUCUGACACUAUUACCAAAAAAAAAAAAAAGAAAUGACAAUGUGAUUUCACUACUAUGGCAUCCACUGCCAGAGCAGUCAUAGUUUAAGAGGUAUUUUUAGUGAUUUUUAAGGGCGAGCACUCGUAAAUUUCCAAAUCUGUGCUCCAUGUGACCAUGACAUAGCAGUUGGUCAAUUCUCCUGCUUGGUUUCCAAAAUUCUGACCGUGGGUCACCACUGACACAAACUAACGUCUAUCUGUAAGAAAUGAGAAAGAGGCAAUUGGAAAGGAGAAAAAGAGGGGACAGAUUGAGCAGAGAGGGUUCCCACAGCAAACUGUUCCUUGCUUGGAGUCAAGCAACUCUUAGAACGCAGACAGCAAAGACAAAAAGAAUCCGGUGAAAAUGCACCUUUUGCGUCCUCAAUACACGGCACAGACGGCGACAGGGAGGGGCAGAAGAUGCAGCUAAGGCUGUGCCUCACAGCUCAGAGAUGCUCAGGGCUGGAUACCGACUUGGAUCUCCUACCUCAGAUGGAAGCAAAUUUCCUUGUGAUGUUCCAGAAAGAAGCGUACCGCCAGAAAUUAUCAUAACACUUCCUACACCGGGAGCUGGAGGUUUUUUUACAGUAGGCCCUGCCCACCAGGGAAAAUAAACCAGAACAAGGAGAACGAAAUUCCCUUCCCACACACGAGUGAUAAUGAAAACAAACUAUCUACAAGGAAGCUCAGACAAGGAGUGUGCUACAGACCAGGCAUCAACUGAAAACAAAUUUCUUAUUCAGGAAAAUGUGCCCAUCAAAGGACGAAUGCAUAAAGAAGACGUGGUACUU